rnacentral:rRNA from 1 species
GACGAACCGUGCAAACGUUGUUCGGAAUCACUGGGCUUAAAGGGCGCGUAGGCGGAUGAGCAAGUCUGUGGUGAAAUCCCCCGGCUUAACCGGGGAACUGCCGUGGAUACUGCACAUCUCGAGGAAGAUAGGGGCGUCUGGAACUAGCGGUGGAGCGGUGAAAUGCGUUGAUAUCGCUAGGAACUCCGGUGGCGAAGGCGAGACGCUGGAUCUUUUCUGACGCUGAGGCGCGAAAGCCAGGGGAGCGAACGGG